UGAUUGAAAUAAUAAUCAGUAAGACCUGCUCAAUGAAUUUAAAUAGCCGCAGAAAUCUGUGCUAAGGUAGCAUAAUCAUUUGCCUUUUAAUUUUAGGCUAGAAUGAAUGGUUUGACAUGUAAAUUAUUUUAUUAAAUAAAUUACUUUACUUUUACUUGUAAAUAAAAAGGUUUACAUAUAAAGAAGGACGACAAGACCCUAUCAAGCUUUACAUUUUUGUUUCGCUGGGGUAGCGAAAAAAUUAUAUCUUUAUUCUUUCAUUAUAGCAAAUCUAUCUCAUUAAAAUUUAACAAGUUACUGUAGGGAUAACAGCAUAAUAUUCUUUUAAAGAUCUUAUUUUAAAGAAAAUUUGUGACCUCGAUGUUGAAUUAAAAUUCCUAUUAUAGAGCAAAAUCUUAAUAAGAAAGUCUGUUCGACUUUUAAAUUUUU
rnacentral:rRNA from 1 species